rnacentral:rRNA from 1 species
CGGCGGACGGGUGAGUAACACGUGGAUAACCUACCUAUAAGACUGGGAUAACUUCGGGAAACCGGAGCUAGUACCGGAUAAUAUAUUGAACCGCAUGGUUCAAUAGUGAAAGACGGUUUUGCUGUCACUUAUAGAUGGAUCCGCGCCGCAUUAGCUAGUUGGUAAGGUAACGGCUUACCAAGGCAACGAUGCGUAGCCGACCUGAGAGGGUGAUCGGCCACACUGGAACUGAGACACGGUCCAG